rnacentral:rRNA from 1 species
AUUGAACGCUGGCGGCAGGCCUAACACAUGCAAGUCGAACGGUAACAGGAAACAGCUUGCUGUUUCGCUGACGAGUGGCGGACGGGUGAGUAAUGUCUGGGAAACUGCCUGAUGGAGGGGGAUAACUACUGGAAACGGUAGCUAAUACCGCAUAACGUCGCAAGACCAAAGAGGGGGACCUUCGGGCCUCUUGCCAUCGGAUGUGCCCAGAUGGGAUUAGCUAGUAGGUGGGGUAACGGCUCACCUAGGCGACGAUCCCUAGCUGGUCUGAGAGGAUGACCAGCCACACUGGAACUGAGACACGGUCCAGACUCCUACGGGAGGCAGCAGUGGGGAAUAUUGCACAAUGGGCGCAAGCCUGAUGCAGCCAUGCCGCGUGUAUGAAGAAGGCCUUCGGGUUGUAAAGUACUUUCAGCGGGGAGGAAGGGAGUAAAGUUAAUACCUUUGCUCAUUGACGUUACCCGCAGAAGAAGCACCGGCUAACUCCGUGCCAGCAGCCGCGGUAAUACGGAGGGUGCAAGCGUUAAUCGGAAUUACUGGGCGUAAAGCGCACGCAGGCGGUUUGUUAAGUCAGAUGUGAAAUCCCCGGGCUCAACCUGGGAACUGCAUCUGAUACUGGCAAGCUUGAGUCUCGUAGAGGGGGGUAGAACUCCAGGCGUAGCGGUGAAAUGCGUAGAGAUCUGGAGGAAUACCGGUGGCGAAGGCGGCCCCCUGGACGAAGACUGACGCUCAGGUGCGAAAGCGUGGGGGAGCAAACAGGAUUAGAUACCCUGGUAGUCCACGCCGUAAACGAUGUCGACUUGGAGGUUGUGCCCUUGAGGCGUGGCUUCCGGAGCUAACGCGUUAAGUCGACCGCCUGGGGAGUACGGCCGCAAGGUUAAAACUCAAAUGAAUUGACGGGGGCCCGCACAAGCGGUGGAGCAUGUGGUUUAAUUCGAUGCAACGCGAAGAACCUUACCUGGUCUUGACAUCCACGGAAGUUUUCAGAGAUGAGAAUGUGCCUUCGGGAACCGUGAGACAGGUGCUGCAUGGCUGUCGUCAGCUCGUGUUGUGAAAUGUUGGGUUAAGUCCCGCAACGAGCGCAACCCUUAUCCUUUGUUGCCAGCGGUCCGGCCGGGAACUCAAAGGAGACUGCCAGUGAUAAACUGGAGGAAGGUGGGGAUGACGUCAAGUCAUCAUGGCCCUUACGACCAGGGCUACACACGUGCUACAAUGGCGCAUACAAAGAGAAGCGACCUCGCGAGAGCAAGCGGACCUCAUAAAGUGCGUCGUAGUCCGGAUUGGAGUCUGCAACUCGACUCCAUGAAGUCGGAAUCGCUAGUAAUCGUGGAUCAGAAUGCCACGGUGAAUACGUUCCCGGGCCU